UGAACCAGAUCGCACAAGCUUGAACAAGAGCCAAAUAGAUUUUUAUUCGAGAAGAAAAGCUAAAAUUUCCAUCUAUGUUAAAGAGAAAUGUUACCAAAUCUACAAUCCCUUUUACACUGUAGUCACGGACAAACUAAUAUCAGAGCCUAAAACAAAUACCUUAGAGAGACACAGGCACAAAAACUGGCUUGGCUAUAAGAUUCAUUCUCACUCAUUUUGCAAGUUAAGUUUAGGUGCUGACACCAUCUUUCUCUGCAACUCCAGCAGCAUCAGUUGUAGAAGUUUUUGAAGAUGGUGGUUCAGCACAUGCCUUCAAGACAGCUUCGUUCUGUAAGAGCAUGAGUAAGAGCACAAGAUAUGAAUAAUAAAUUAGAAAAACUAUUAGAAGACACCCAUCAAAAUUUGAGGUAAACAAAUCGCAUAAAUUCUGUGAUACCGUGUUUUUUUGUGCAAAAGGAGAACAGCUUUGGAGAAGCCAGUAAUCAACUAUUGGUAUAAAGCAUCUUAAAAAAACUUUAGAUCGUGAGCUUAUAACUAAAGAAACAAAAUUCAAAUAACAAGAACCCAGAUUAAGCACAUGGCUAACUCCAGCAGGCAUACCAAAGCCGUAGAUGCAAAUUUAAUUUUCCUUUUUAUCAUAGGAUGCCAUAAUUUAGUGAUGUCACCUUNNNNN
rnacentral:lncRNA from 1 species